rnacentral:misc_RNA from 1 species
AACGCACAUUGCGCCCCUUGGUAUUCCAUGGGGCAUGCCUGUUCGAGCGUCAUUUGAACCCUCAAGCUUUGCUUGGUGUUGGGUGUUUGUCCCGCUAUUGCGCGUGGACUCGCCUUAAAGUAAUUGGCAGCCAUGUAAUUCGGCUUUGAGCGCAGCACAUUGCGUACUCUAUGCUGGUACAUUGGCAUCCAGAAGCCCUUUUUUUACUCUUGACCUCGGAUCAGGUAGGGAUACCCGCUGAACUUAA